rnacentral:rRNA from 1 species
UACGUAGGCGGAAAAUUAAGUCAGUAGUGAAAUCCCGCAGCUUAACUGUGGAACUGUUAUUGAUACUGGUUUUCUUGAAUAUAGUUGAGGUAGGCGGAAUGUGUAAUGUAGCGGUGAAAUGCUUAGAUAUUACACAGAACACCGAUUGCGAAGGCAGCUUACUAAGCUAUGAUUGACGCUGAGGUACGAAAGCGUGGGUAGCGAACAGGAUUAGAUACCCUGGUAGUC